rnacentral:rRNA from 1 species
CAGUUGAGGGGCAGCAUAGGGUAGCAAUACCCUGAUGGCGACCGGCAGACGGGUGAGUAACGCGUAUGUAACCUACCCUGUACAGGGGGAUAACCCGGAGAAAUUCGGACUAAUAUCCCAUAGUAAUAUCCGGAGGCAUCUUUGGAUAUUUAAAGUUCCGGCGGUACGGGAUGGGCAUGCGUAACAUUAGCUAGUUGGUAAGGUAACGGCCUACCAAGGCUAUGAUGUUUAGGGGUCCUGAGAGGGUGAUCCCCCACACUGGUACUGAGACACGGACCAGACUCCUACGGGAGGCAGCAGUGAGGAAUAUUGGUCAAUGGGCGCAAGCCUGAACCAGCCAUCCCGCGUGCAGGAAGACGGCCCUAUGGGUUGUAAACUGCUUUUCCAGGGAGAGAAACCUGCGCACGUGUUGCGCAAUUGACGGUACCCUGGGAAUAAGCAUCGGCUAACUCCGUGCCAGCAGCCGCGGUAAUACGGAGGAUGCAAGCGUUAUCCGGAUUCAUUGGGUUUAAAGGGUGCGUAGGCGGACUAUUAAGUCAGUGGUGAAAGCCUGCAGCUUAACUGCAGAACUGCCAUUGAUACUGAUAGUCUUGAGUUUGGUUAAGGUAGGCGGAAUGUGUAAUGUAGCGGUGAAAUGCUUAGAUAUUACACAGAACACCAAUUGCGUAGGCAGCUUACUGAGCCGACACUG